UGGUUCUCUGUCUUUGGGGUCAUGUGCUCUUGGUUCUCUGUCUUUGGGGUCAUGUGCUCUUGGUUCUCUGAAGCUUUUUAUGUUUCCCCAGUGAAUUCUGAUUGAUGCCCAGGCUGAGAGAGAACCACUGGCCUGGAUCCGAAUGACACCUCCCCACUCAGCUGUGGCCCAUUCCAGCUCUCCUAGAUGGAGUUCUACAUAAGUGAAUUCUGAUUGAUGCCCAGGCUGAGAGAGAACCACUGGCCUGGAUCCGAAUGACACCUCCCCACUCAGCUGUGGCCCAUUCCAGCUCUCCUAGAUGGAGUUCUACAUAAGAUUCUUGAUUCGUCUCUGCCGACCAUCUUUCUCUGCUCCUCAUUUCGCGGGGCAGAGCGUUUCCUGCGGUUCCCAAGUUUGCUGGUACAGACGCUGCCACAUAUACCAACUGACUGAUGGUCUCUCCGGGGCCCAAACCCAAGCUCCCAGGAAGAGGAAAUUUGGACAAAGACAUGGACAGAGGGAAGACCACAUGAGAAUACAGGGAGAAGACAGCCAUCCGCAAGCCAAGGAGAAAGGCCUCUGAAAGAAACCAACCCUGCCAAUCCACUGAUCUCCAACUUCCAGCCUCCAGAACUGGGAGAAAAUACAUUUCUGUUCUUUAAACCACCUAUUCGGUGGUACUUUGUUACAGCAGCGCUAACAAACUAAUACACUCUAUCCCUUUCCCUCAUUUUAUGUUUCCUCAAAGAGGCAGUUUGCAUAGUGGUCAAGUGCAUACACCCUAGAUCUGGGCUCAAUCAACAGGACUAGCAGAAGCUAUGACGGGUCUGGUGGGUAUGCCAGAGAUCUGUGGGCGUAGAGAAGCGGCUGUGGUUGGAAUGUGGGUUUUGGUGUAGCUAAUGCAGAAGGCAGGCCUGCGGUCCGGCUUGAAGGACAGACAAGAAAGGACUGAGGCUGGGCUGGGGAAGGACCUGCUGUCGCAUCAGGGAGACCUUUCACUCCCUGGUGCUGCUGCUUCCCCAUCCAAGAACGGGGGAGGGUCCCCUCCUAAGCAGGUUAUGGCCUCCUCUGCACCCCCGGAGGGUAUGCAGUAUGGCAGGGAACCUUGCAAACCAGCAUUUGGCAUGUCACUGCCACCGACCCCAUUUCAUUUGUUGACCAGGUUUUGCUGAACCUGUUCAUUUGAUGAGCUGGAAGGGGUGGGUUUUGUGAAAUGGUUGAGGCAUAUGUUAGGACCCCCACUAAACACCUCUGAAAUGAAGAGCACAUGUGCACAUAACGAAAUAGAAACAGCAGACAGGCCCAGUCAUUUUGUUCUGGAUUUGGAAAUUGCUCUGUCUUCAAAGCAUAAAUUGUGUCCCCAUGACACCCAGCACCUCCUUCAAUCCUCCAUCUGCCAGCCACAUGUUCCACAUGUUUCAAACUCCGAAUCCAGUGUUGGCAUCAAAUAGACCAAAUGUCCCAAUGCCUGACUCAACUUCUCACUUGUCACCUGGAAGUGUCGACAGUCUGUGGACACAGGAUUGCUAAACUUGCCAUCAGUUCCUGAGCGUUCAAAUGUAAAAACUGGAAAGAUCUGUUUGUUUCCCCUUUUCUGGCCAUUCCUGUAUUCUGCUGUCUACAAGACUUACCAUCAAUAUACUACUUUUGUUUAUACC